rnacentral:rRNA from 1 species
UGCGAGUCCAGCGGCAGCGGAAAGUAGCUUGCUACUUUGCCGGCGAGCGGCGGACGGGUGAGUAAUGUCUGGGAAACUGCCUGAUGGAGGGGGAUAACUACUGGAAACGGUAGCUAAUACCGCAUAAUGUCGCAAGACCAAAGAGGGGGACCUUCGGGCCUCUUGCCAUCAGAUGUGCCCAGAUGGGAUUAGCUAGUAGGUGGGGUAAUGGCUCACCUAGGCGACGAUCCCUAGCUGGUCUGAGAGGAUGACCAGCCACACUGGAACUGAGACACGGUCCAGACUCCUACGGGAGGCAGCAGUGGGGAAUAUUGCACAAUGGGCGCAAGCCUGAUGCAGCCAUGCCGCGUGUAUGAAGAAGGCCUUCGGGUUGUAAAGUACUUUCAGCGAGGAGGAAGGCGAUAAGGUUAAUAACCUUGUCGAUUGACGUUACUCGCAGAAGAAGCACCGGCUAACUCCGUGCCAGCAGCCGCGGUAAUACGGAGGGUGCAAGCGUUAAUCGGAAUUACUGGGCGUAAAGCGCACGCAGGCGGUCUGUCAAGUCGGAUGUGAAAUCCCCGGGCUCAACCUGGGAACUGCAUUCGAAACUGGCAGGCUAGAGUCUUGUAGAGGGGGGUAGAAUUCCAGGUGUAGCGGUGAAAUGCGUAGAGAUCUGGAGGAAUACCGGUGGCGAAGGCGGCCCCCUGGACAAAGACUGACGCUCAGGUGCGAAAGCGUGGGGAGCAAACAGGGUUAGAUACCCUGGUAGUCCACGCCGUAAACGAUGUCGACUUGGAGGCUGUUCCCUUGAGGAGUGGCUUCCGGAGCUAACGCGUUAAGUCGACCGCCUGGGGAG